GCACAAGCGGUGGAGCAUGUGGUUUAAUUCGAAGCAACGCGAAGAACCUUACCAAGUCUUGACAUACUGUGAGGACACAAGAGAUUGUGUUGUUCUGACCUUUGGUUAGACACAGAUACAGGUGGUGCAUGGUUGUCGUCAGCUCGUGUCGUGAGAUGUUGGGUUAAGUCCCGCAACGAGCGCAACCCUUAUAUCUAGUUGCCAGCAGUAAGAUGGGGACUCUAGAUAGACUGCCAGUGAUAAACUGGAGGAAGGUGGGGAUGACGUCAAAUCAUCAUGCCCCUUAUGACUUGGGCUACACACGUGCUACAAUGGAUAGGAACAAAGAGAAGCGAGCUCGCGAGAGUAAGCAAACCUCACAAAACUAUUCUCAGUUCGGAUUGUAGUCUGCAACUCGACUACAUGAAGCUGGAAUCGCUAGUAAUCGCGAAUCAGAAUGUCGCGGUGAAUACGUUCCCGGGC
rnacentral:rRNA from 1 species